rnacentral:misc_RNA from 1 species
GAUGAAGAACGCAGUAAAAUGCGAUAAGUAAUGUGAAUUGCAGAAUUCAGUGAAUCAUCGAAUCUUUGAACGCACAUUGCGCCCCCCAGUAUUCUGGCGGGCAUGCCUGUUCGAGCGUCAUUUCAACCCUCAAGCACAGCUUGGUGUUGGGACUCGCGUUAAUUCGCGUUCCCCAAAUUGAUUGGCGGUCACGUCGAGCUUCCAUAGCGUAGUAGUAAAACCCUCGUUACUGGUAAUCGUCGCGGCCACGCCGUUAAACCCCAACUUCUGAAUGUUGACCUCGGAUCAGGUAGGAAUACCCGCUGAACUUAAGCAUAUCAAUAAGCGGAGGA